ACGCGUGAAGCCAAUCAGAAAGUGUUUGUUUAAUGGCUUGAUUGGCGUCGCGCGUGCGACGAAUCAAACGGAUGUUUAUUUAAUGGCGUGAUAUGCAUCGCACGUGUGACCAAUCACGGAAGUUUGUUUAGUGGCGUGAUAUGCCGCUAGACGCGUAGACGUUAAGUAAAGUUAAACUCUUUCAUUUCUUGUGUUCCAUGUAUUCUUUUUCUGUUGCAAGUAAAUACAGUGUUUAAGUCCAGUGUGACAAUAUGUUUAGAAGCAGAAGGAAAAUGUGACGUUUAGGUUAUUAAUGCAACUGGAACAACUCUACUAUUUAAAGACGUUCUCUAUGUUCCUGGCUUGGGAAUAAAUCUAUUUUCUAUCAGUGCCGCCUCGGAAAAAGGUGCGGAAGCUGUCUUCUACGAAGAUGGACAACUUGAAAUGGCGGGUCAGUGAAAAACUUUAUUAUCUGGAUGUAACAGCGAAGAUCCAAGAAACACAUUUCACCUCGGUUAGUCGCUCUCUACCACUCGAAAAUCUCAGCAACACAAGUCAGAAAAUUUUCAUGAUUCUAAAAUAUUGGUUGCUGCUUUAAAAAAUUAGUGCAACGUAACCAUUAUUAUGUUAAGAUCUGACAAUGGUGGCGAAUACAUUGGUCAAGAAUUCCAAGAAUGGCUUACUCAGAAGUGCAGAAGUGUAACCUCAAAUAGAACGUCGACAAUCAUAACGUAUUCUUGUUUUUUACGACAUCAUUAAUGGUGCCUACAGUGUAACCGUUACCAAACAGGACAAAACUAAGGCAAGGGAUGAAUACAACAAAAUUCUAACGAUAGAACGUCAAUUGGUGGAAAACUGCUGCACAAAUAAAGAAGAAAUGGGAAAAUACGGUGAAAAGUACAGAAGUGGAAAUUUUUAAGUACGUACAAUGCAUCAGUGAAGGAAACAGGUACUUGUGGUAUACAUUAACUUUUGUUUUGAAGAUUGUUUGAAAGAAUGAAGUUUUCAAAGAAAUGUAUGAUCAAGCAUGUGGAAAUGACAACCCAUCAGUGUCUGGUGAACAGAUACUGGAAAAUUUAAUUAAAUUGAAUUUUUCCAUUUAGUUCAUAAGCAUACCCACUUUAUAUUUCAAAAGGGAGGAGUCGAAUCAAAAACAAGUGAAAGAGUGGUUGAAAACCCUACAACUGUUUUAGUUCAACGUGAAUGUGAGGACGACAAGGAUACGUUUGAAGGUUCCGAAGAUCAAAAUACAAUCAUUAUUCAAUUGUUUAUUCCUUGUAUGAGGAGUAAGUCACAAGUGAAAUGACUAAAAUAUUUUCCGAACAGCCAUAGUUUAUUCUUAUAUGGUGUACUGUACUGGGCUGAUGGGGCAAUGUAGUUUAGCAGCAAUGAAUUGCAGCCUCGGUCAGUUCGCCAUCAACCAGUCAUUCUUCAAAGUCUCCAGCGACAAUGUUGAAAGGGAAAACGAUUCGUCAAAUGAUGAGUACUACCAAGAAAACAAUUUGCAAUGAUCUCACAUUGAGUUCUGGGUAAACCAGUUUUGGACGAUCGACUGGAACUGUUGUAUGUGAUGAUGAGAGUAAGGGGGAUUCAGGCAAAUCCUAUAGAAGAUUCAGAAAAAAAUGACAAUCUAUUCAAAGCAGUAAACAACUUCAAGGAUUACUGUUGAUUGUCACUCUGUUUCAUCCAAAAAAUAAGCAUACACUGGAAAAAAGAAUCAUGAGUAAUCCUGUUUUAAAGUUAUCAUUAACAGAGGAAAUGACUAUUGGUAAUUGUUCAUCUAAGUUGGAACCCUAAGCAAAGAAUUUGAGUUUUGUCCCUUGCACUUUGUAAUAUAGUGGAUACUUCUGCUAUGAGCAUCACGAUUUGAAAUAUGUCACCUUCCAAUACGAUGCCAUUAUCUUUAAAUUCUGGUUGGUGCCUAGCUUUGGCGAUGUUGUGUAACCGUCUUAAUGAUAGAUGGCAAAAUUAUUUCACUGUAUAAUUUCAGUCUAAAAUUAGGUAUAGUAGUAUCGAAUGUUGUGUAUAUGGUAGACUACUUGACUGUCAUACGGGACACCCGUGUUCGAAUCCGAUGAUAAAAUAAUGUUUUUAGCGAUUUUUUGGUAGAGCAAAAAGUCGUCCCAGUGAACGCCAAAAUGGAAGCGUUGGUGACCAUAAAAAUUCGUGUAUUAGAAAAGUUUUUGCCGGUCAUCAACACCUGCUAAAAUCAUCUUUAAGUCGUCAUUGUAGGAUUUCAGGACAGAAUAAAGAAAUCCUAGUAGUGCCAUGAACGGGCACUACUAGUUACACUGAGGCUAUCUUUAAAAGGUACUUGUGUUUACAUACAACGUUCCUGGUAAUUUCAAACGUUUGAAUAAAAAUAAGUAAGGGUCAGAAUUCAUAUUUGAAUUAGGCGCGUCAUCAAUAGGGCCGCCGCAAUGGAUGUCGGGAAGGGGGGUAAAUUUUACUGUAAUUUUUGGUUCUUAAGCUAUAGAAAUCUAAUAGGAUUUAGAACAUGAAAUGCAAUGGAUCUGUAUAUUGUAGGUUUAGUCUUGGCUCUAGAAAGCCUUUUACAAUCCUUACACAGUAGAAUAUUCCAAUAGUUUAGACACACAAAUAUAAGAUGACUUAGUUAGUCGUGGACAAGAAGAAGAACGAGAAGAAGAUAUCGACACAGACAAAGUAAGUAGGACAACUCGACGACGUAUUGAUGACUGUCAAACGUCGUUGGUCAUGUCUGUGUCUUCUGCUUCUCAGAAAGCGCUAAGCCAAUACGCAGUAGGCUUCAUUAAAAUCGAAGAAAACUAUCAUAUCAAAACAUUCUAGAGAUAAUAAAGAAUCCCAAAAACAUAUUUUCUGUUUAGUUUGGUCUAUUUUAAUAACCAAACAACGUACCAGAAAAUGUCUGUUUUUAGUCAUUCCCCACCCAAUUCUUUUUUGUAAAUUAUUGACAACUAAAGAAAUCCUAUCACGAUGAGAAUUUUUUUUUUCUGUAACGCAUAACUCGGCCUUAUAAAAAAUUUUUCUUCUCGUUUUAGGAUAUUUUCUUUAUCAAUUUUUUACAAAACAAAAUUGCGGAAGUCGAAAGCUCUUGAUGAGAGUUAUCCAAUGCCGUAAAAUUUAUUAUCUUUGUGGUUUUAGUUUGGAUGUUAUUAAUUAAACAAUUUUGUCAAUUUGGGGGGGGGGAGGGAGAAUAACGUAGGUACACACCGAAAUUUACGUAGAUCGUUUGGAAUAUUUACUUCUUUUAAAUAAAUUAAUUUGGUAGUAUUCGUGAUCCUCUUGUCGCGAGGAACACGAUUACAAUAAAAACAACGUUCAUUAACAUAGUUUAUCAUCGUAAUUUGAGAAAUAUAAAUGACCAAUCGUGGAAGUGCACGAAGAUGUCGUACUCGAUCAUUUUUAGGUGCCAGCAGACGUGAAAGAAGCUCACCGAUUUUGGAGCACGCUCAGAGCUAUCCGCUCACACCCGUAAAACGAGCGGCUCGCGCUCUCUGCUCAUCAUUUGAAAAAAGAGCGCGAGCCGCUCGCAAAAGCUUUUUUUCCGCUCUUCAAAAUUUUGUUGCUGGAUGUUGACUAAAAAUUUCCGUUUUUCAUAUACAUAUUCCAUUUUAACACGUGUAUUGUAAUUGAAUACAUGUAGUAUUUUACA